rnacentral:rRNA from 1 species
UACAGAGGGUGCAAGCGUUAAUCGGAAUUACUGGGCGUAAAGCGUGCGUAGACGGUUACAUAAGUCGGGUGUGAAAGCCCCGGGCUCAACCUGGGAAUUGCAUUCGAGACUGCGUAGCUAGGGUGCGGAAGAGGGAAGCGGAAUUUCCGGUGUAGCGGUGAAAUGCGUAGAUAUCGGAAGGAACACCAGUGGCGAAGGCGACUUCCUGGCCUGUUCUUGACGCUGAGGCGCGAAAGCUAGGGGAGCAAACGGG